GACGAACGCUGGCGGCGUGCUUAACACAUGCAAGUCGAACGGAAAGGCCCUGCUUUUGUGGGGUGCUCGAGUGGCGAACGGGUGAGUAACACGUGAGUAACCUGCCCUUGACUUUGGGAUAACUUCAGGAAACUGGGGCUAAUACCGGAUAGGAGCUCCUGCUGCAUGGUGGGGGUUGGAAAGUUUCGGCGGUUGGGGAUGGACUCGCGGCUUAUCAGCUUGUUGGUGGGGUAGUGGCUUACCAAGGCUUUGACGGGUAGCCGGCCUGAGAGGGUGACCGGCCACAUUGGGACGGAGAUACGGCCCAGACUCCUACGGGAGGCAGCAGUGGGGAGUAUUGCACAAGGGGCGGAAGCCUGAUGCAGCAACGCCGCGUGCGGGAGGACGGCCUUCGGGUGGUAAACCGCUUUCGCCUGUGACGAAGCGUGAGGGACGGUAAUGGGUAAAGAAACACCGGCUAACUACGU
rnacentral:rRNA from 1 species